UCCCUCUGUCACAACAACGAGGGAUGAGAGAGGUCGAAGGGUUUAAGAGAUGUGUCAGGACACGAGAUAGUUGGUAGAGGAUGAGAGAGGUGGCAGGAUUUAAGAGAUGUGUCAGGACACGAUAGAGUUGGCAGAGCAUGUGAGAGGUGGCAGGAUUUAAGAGAUGUGGCAGGAUUUAAGAGAUGUGGCAGGACACAAGAGAGUUGGCAGAGCAUGAGAGAUGUUGCAGGAUUUAAGAGAGUUGGCAGAGCAUGAGAGAUGUGUCAGGAUUUAAGAGAUGUGUCAGGACACGAGAGAGUUGGCAGAGCAUGAGAGAUGUGACAGGAUUUAAGAGAUGUGGCAGAAUUUAAGAGAUGUGGCAGGACACGAGAGAGUUGGCAGAGCAUGAGAGGUGUGGCAGGAUUUAAGAGAUGUAUCAGGACACGAGAAAGUUGGCAGAGCAUGAGAGAGGUGGCAGGAUUUAAGAGAUGUGUCAGGACACGAGAUAGUUGGUAGAGGAUGAGAGAGGUGGCAGGAUUUAAGAGAUGUGUCAGGACACGAUAGAGUUGGCAGAGCAUGUGAGAGGUGGCAGGAUUUAAGAGAUGUGGCAGGAUUUAAGAGAUGUGGCAGGAUUUAAGAGAUGUGUCAGGACACGAUAGAGUUGGCAGAGCAUGUGAGAGGUGGCAGGAUUUAAGAGAUGUGGCAGGAUUUAAGAGAUGUGGCAGGAUUUAAGAGAUGUGGCAGGACACGAGAGAGUUGGCAGAGCAUGAGAGAUGUUGCAGGAUUUAAGAGAGUUGGCAGAGCAUGAGAGAUGUGUCAGGAUUUAAGAGAUGUGUCAGGACACGAGAGAGUUGGCAGAGCAUGAGAGAUGUGACAGGAUUUAAGAGAUGUGGCAGAAUUUAAGAGAUGUGGCAGGACACGAGAGAGUUGGCAGAGCAUGAGAGAUGUUGCAGGAUUUAAGAGAUGUGGCAGGAUUUAAGAGAUGUGGCAGGAUUUAAGAGAUGUGGCAGGACACGAGAGAGUUGGCAGAGCAUGAGAGAUGUUGCAGGAUUUAAGAGAGUUGGCAGAGCAUGAGAGAUGUGUCAGGAUUUAAGAGAUGUGUCAGGACACGAGAGAGUUGGCAGAGCAUGAGAGAUGUGGCAGGAUUUAAGAGAUGUGGCAGGAUUUAAGAGAUGUGGCAGGACACGAGAGAGUUGGCAGAGCAUGAGAGAUGUUGCAGGAUUUAAGAGAGUUGGCAGAGCAUGAGAGAUGUGUCAGGAUUUAAGAGAUGUGUCAGGACACGAGAGAGUUGGCAGAGCAUGAGAGAUGUGACAGGAUUUAAGAGAUGUGGCAGGAUUUAAGAGAUGUGGCAGGAUUUAAGAGAUGUGGCAGGAUUUAAGAGAUGUGGCAGGACACGAGAGAGUUGGCAGAGCAUGAGAGAUGUUGCAGGAUUUAAGAGAGUUGGCAGAGCAUGAGAGAUGUGUUAGGAUUUAAGAGAUGUGUCAGGACACGAGAGAGUUGGCAGAGCAUGAGAGAUGUGACAGGAUUUAAGAGAUGUGGCAGGAUUUAAGAGAUGUGGUAGGAUUUAAGAGAUGUGUCAGGACACGAGAGAGUUGGCAGAGCAUGAGAGAUGUGACAGGAUUUAAGAGAUGUGGCAGGAUUUAAGAGAUGUGGUAGGAUUUAAGAGAUGUGGCAGGACACGAGAGAGUUGGCAGAGCAUGAGAUGUGUGGCAGGAUUUAAGAGAUGUAUCAGGACACGAGAAAGUUGGCAGAGCAUGAGAGAGGUGGUAGGAUUUAAGAGAUGUGUCAGGACACGAGAGAGUUGGCAGAGCAUGAGAGAGGUGGCAGGACACAAGAGAAGUGAACUUAUACUCGACUUUAAUUAAAAUGGUUAUUAGGCAUCUUGCAAUACUUAAUCAAGAGUACAUCACAAAACAUUUUGCGCACUUCCACACAAUACAAUGUUUUAUCUAGAUUGGGGAAAACAUUUACUGUAUAAAAGAAGAACACAAUACAUUGUUUCUCUAUUCACACUGACACCGUAGAUUUCGAGGAAGCGCUGUUGUUUAGUUCCUUAUUUACAACCAGAACUUUGGCCUCUGUUUCUCAACGCUAUGUCUUUAGCGUGGUUUAGUGAACUACAGUCAAUGGCUUUACACCUAGGGAAAGAACUUCAGUCAGUGAAAAGACAUCAUUUAGAGCUAAUCUUUAUACCUUUGGGAGCUUCAGUUCUUUGUGGAGCGUUGUUGCUGAUUCAAGCCUUAAUGGAAAGAUCCUUAAGUACCCCCUUGAUGCAGCGUUUUGUGGCAAGGAUUGUCAUUAUAGUCGAGGAUCCACAGGAUCUCAGACUUAGAGAAAGGCUGAGUGUUUCUAAAGCUACAAGUGGGGCUUAGUUUUGUCUGAAACAUCUGAUAAACAAUGAUAAAGUGCGACAUCUGAGAAACAGUGUAAACCAAAUUUGUGACGUCUGAUAAACAAUGCCAAAGGAACAUGUGACAUAUGGGAAACAGUGUAAACUAAGUUUGUGACGUCUGAUAAACAAUGCCAAAGGAACAUGUGACAUCUGAGAAACAAUGCCAAAGGAACAUGUGACAUCUGAUAAAAAAGGCAAAAGAAACAUGCGACAUCUGAGAAACACUGUCAACCAAAUUUUUGACGUCUGUUAAACAAAGCCAAAGGAACAUGUGACAUCUGAGAAACAGUAUGAAGGAAAUUUAACAUCUGAUAAACAAUUCUAAAGAAACACGUGACAUCUGAAAAACAAUGCUAAAGAAACAUGUGCCAUCUGAGAAACAGUAUGAAGGAAACGUAACAUCUGAUAAAAAAAUGCAAAAGAAACAUGCGACAUCUGAUAAACAUUGUGAAGGAAACAUCUUACAUCUGAGAAACAAUAUGAAGAAAACCUGAUAUCUAAUAAACAGUGUGAAAAAAAGGCGUGACAUUUGAAAAGCAAUGUUAAGGCAAGAUGUGCCAUCUGAGAAACAGCAAUUAAAAAUGAAAAUCAAUAUAAGAAAUGAAGAAGAAUAAAACGAUAGAACACAGAAGUAUUGGGGAAAGGAAAAUAAAAAUAUCUGUCCAAGUUUGAUCAGAAGUCUAGCCUCGUCUUUUUAGUCCUCAACAUGAUAUGGUUAUUUGCGACAGAUGGACUUAUAAUACUUAUUAGAAUUCCAAUAGUGUUUGUAGUGUUCCCCUUUGCUUCCUAUGUGACCAUGUAUGCCAUGUAUGACUUUCUAGACUUUGUCUUUACCUAUGGAGGAGUCAUUGAGAGAGACGAUGAUGAAGAAGUAGAUGAAGAACUAGAAGAAAUCGAAGUGCCAAGAGACGUCGUGGAUGGAGGCUAGGAACAUCAGUACAUCUAUGAGCUACCUAGAUGUGUAGACUUGGAAACAUUCACAAAUGACAGUGUCGAAGAUGUUUAUACCUUCUGUUGACAUACGCAUGUAUGGAAGGGGAAGGAAGGAGGCUAAACGUAACUUAUCAUCAUUGAGAUAAAUCGUAGGCGUAUCAGGCAGAGACUCAACAAAGUUCUGCCCAACUGACACUCAACAAAGUUCUGCCCAACUGACACUCAAUAAAGUUCUGCCCAACUGACGCUCAAGAAAGUUCUGGCCGAAAAGCGGGUCGUCCCCCGUAUAACCUGGAAUCGUAAUGUCUUGGAGGAUGUAAAAAAAAAAUGAUACGCCAAAACACAAUUUACAAAGUCGAUGAACCAGUUCCUAAGACGUCAACUUUUCCAAACAAUUUUACGUUUAUCCCAAACAGCAGAACAUCUAGUCAUCUGUUGUCCAGUAAUGCCACUAUCUAAUGUACAGACACAUGUAGAUGCCAUCAAAAGUAUCAUUUAAUGACGGCGGAAGAUGUAAUCAAAAUUACUAGUGUACUUAGGCCAGUAAAUGACUCCAGCUGUAAAAUAAAUGACUAACUCAUUCUUGCUGUAUCAAUGUGAACUAUCAAACAAGACUGGCUCAAAUAUAAUCAAAGAGUCCUUUAUUUUUUCAGCAACUUUGCAUCAAGUGUUUGUGUUACUUUAAUGUUUUAACUAUAACCGAAAGGGUUUAAUUGGUGCAAUUUUUAUAAAGGAUGAUGAACGUUUAAGAUUGAACUCUGGACUCAAAUAAUAAGGAAAAAUUGGUUAUAGUUUUCAAUAUAUAACUUCUUCAUGCAAUAGGAGACAACUUGACAAAACGAACAAGGCCGAACGUUGAAUAGUAUUCAACUGAAAGCAGAAGUGAACAUCAAUCAAAGGACUAUUGGUCAACAAUAAAUCUUAAGUGAACA